ensembl:lncRNA
CAGACUCAUAUAUAAGCAAGGACAAAAAAAAGUCGUUGCUUUUUCUCUUCCUCCUCCUCUCUGUGGAGCCACCAUGUGAGCCUGGGAAGAGGACAACAGCAAAGGCAUCCUCCAUAAGAUAAGUCUUAUGAUUAUGGUUGAUAAUUAAGACUGAGCUAGCCUAUGAGAAAUCCUAGUCAUUGGCUAAGCAGCAUUUGUACCUAAUAUAAGUCUCUGUGUGUUACUUGGAACCUUAACAUGGCAUUGGGCAGCCUGGCGGAAAGUGCCCAUGUGGCGGCAGGGCUCAGGCUUUGGCAUAAAGAUUUAUCAUUACAGUUGCUCAUUGGUACACUGUGUGGUUUUCCCCGAGUUACUUCUGUGUACCAAAACUUUGCUGAAAAUUGGUAAAUAAGAUCUAAGAGAUGGGGAUGAAUGUACUCUGAGACUUGACCAAGCCAAGUCCUGUAUUUUCUGUCUGCAAAUGUCUGUCAUCUCACAAGUUAGAAAUUUGCAUAUUCUUAGGAAAGCUGCUCUUGACAAAGUAUGCAAAGGGUUUUCAUAUUUUAUUGUUUACAUAUUGAAAAGAGUUUCUUUUUCUCCUUCAUUGAAUUUUGGCUUUUCACAGUGUGCAAUUUUGCAGCAUUUAUGAUCAUUAUGUACUUUGUUUCAAAAGAAUGCAUUUUGUCAUAAAAAGCCCUUCACAAGACUAGAGGAAACCAUCAGUUCUCUGUGAAUAUCUCAGCACAACCUGCGGGUUUUUUUUUUUUUUAACUUGCUCUGAGAAUAUUUAAAACAAUCUGCAAAAACUCCUAUGUGAAGCAAUUAGAAGGCAAAACUGGAGCCAAUUGAAUUCUCUUAAUCAAGAAAUAAUUAAUUUGUGCAUGACAAUGUUAGAGUCCUACAUUCAAAAGACUGGACGAUUUAUCCAACCCCCCUUUCACAAAGUUACAAUUUCGAUCUCGCUUUGUUUGUGAGAUAAUAAGGAAGGCUUGUGCAAAGUGAGACAAGAUGAACAGAGAGACUUUCUCAUGAAUAGGAGAAAUGAAUGUUUUUUUAAUUUAAAGGAAACUGUAUUUAAAACACAAUUUUUGGAAAAUAUAAUGAAGUCAAAUAUAAAUAUUGUGAACAGAUGUUUCUUAAGAAGCUGCCGCACUGAAUAGCCACCAUCUGGAGUCAUUCACAGAGAGAACAAGAGAGAACUACUGACGGAAGAGUGGAGGAUUGAGGACAGUGGAGAGUGCAUGCCUGUCUUCUUUAGGCCCUGCUUCAGUUCAGCGCAGCAGAAGUCAAGAGAGGCCAGUGUGAUGGUUCAUCGAGGAAGAGUAAAAGUGCUUGUCACUCAAGCCUCAUGACCUCAUCUCUCCCAAAAGUGACCCGCCACGUGUGUGUGCCAUGACACUAUACUCAGACACUCAGACACAGUAACAGCAAUAAACAAAGAUCUUAACAAAUGAAAUCAAGUGAGGUGGGUGAUAUAGAGACACUGUUAAUUCUAAUGCUACAAGUUAAAAAUCUGAAUUAUAAAUGUUGAACUGUUCUCAUUACGAGUGAUUUCUUUUGAUAAGAUCCUGGCAAAUGUAGUCUAAAUUUGAGUUUAAUGCACUUAAAAUAAAAUUUAUGCCAUUUAUCGGGAAGAAAUGUGGGCUGAUUGUUAGUUGAGCUUUUGUAUCGGGAUAAAUGAGUCAGAACCUUCUAGCUUUUCUUAGGUGGUAAAAGAAAAUUCCUG